UGGGUCGGUAGCUCAGGUGGUUAGAGCGCACGCCUGAUAAGCGUGAGGUCGGAGGUUCAAGUCCUCCUCGACCCACC
rnacentral:tRNA from 1 species